rnacentral:rRNA from 1 species
AUUGAACGCUGGCGGCAGGCCUAACACAUGCAAGUCGAACGAGUGGCGGACGGGUGAGUAAUGUCUGGGAAACUGCCCGAUGGAGGGGGAUAACUACUGGAACCGGUAGCUAAUACCGCAUACCAUCGGAUGUGCCCAGAUGGGAUUAGCUAGUAGGUGGGGUAACGUGUCACCUAGGCGACGCUCCCUAGCUGGUUGGAGAGGAUUACCAGCAACAGUGGAAAGGAGAAACGGUCCAGACUCCUACGGGAGGCAGCAGUGGGGAAUAUGGAACAAUGGGCGCAAGCCUGAUGCAGCCAGGCCGCGUGUAUGAAGAAGGCCGUCGGGUUGUAAAGUACUUUCAGCGAGGAGGCGUUACUCGCAGAAGAAGCACCGGCUAACUCCGUGCCAGCAGCCGCGGUAAUUC